rnacentral:siRNA from 1 species
ACUCAACAACUAUGGCCUGAGGGU